rnacentral:misc_RNA from 1 species
AACGCACAUUGCGCCCUUUGGUAUUCCGAAGGGCAUGCCUGUUCGAGCGUCAUUAUCACCCCUCAAGCCCCGUGCUUGGUGUUGGACGGCUGGUUGACUUGUCGACCCCUCCUUAAGAUCAUGACGGCGACCUGUGGUUCCCCCGGUACACUGAGCUUCUCAUCGAGCACGUACUGGACAAGGGCGCCCAGGACCCGGUCUUCUCCUCUCACGAGGAAAUUUUUACAAGGUUGACCUCGGAUCAGGUAGGAAUACGCGCUGAACUUAA